rnacentral:rRNA from 1 species
UACGGAGGAUGCAAGCGUGAUCCGGAAUGAUUGGGCGUAAAGCGUCCGCAGGGGGCGAUGUAAGUCUGCUGUUAAAGAGUCUAGCUCAACUAGAUAAGAGCAGUGGAAACUACAUAGCUAGAGUACGUUCGGGGCAGAGGGAAUUCCUGGUGUAGCGGUGAAAUGCGUAGAGAUCGGCAGGAACACCCAGGGAGAAAUCAGCCGCCUGGGCAAGUGCUGACGCUGAGGUGCGAAAGCGUGGGGAGCGAACCGG